AUUGAACGCUGGCGGCAUGCCUUACACAUGCAAGUCGAACGGCAGCACGGGAGCAAUCCUGGUGGCGAGUGGCGAACGGGUGAGUAAAGUAUCGGAACGUGCCCAGUCGUGGGGGAUAACGUAGCGAAAGUUACGCUAAUACCGCAUGCGAUCUAUGGAUGAAGGCGGGGGAUCGCAAGACCUCGCGCGAUUGGAGCGGCCGAUAUCAGAUUAGGUAGUUGGUGGGGUAAAGGCUAACCAAGCCGACGAUCUGUAGCUGGUCUGAGAGGACGACCAGCCACACUGGGACUGAGAGACGGCCCAGACUCCUACGGGAGGCAGCAGUGGGGAAUUUUGGACAAUGGGCGAGAGCCUGAUCCAGCCAUGCCGCGUGCAGGAUGAAGGCCUUCGGGUUGUAAACUGCUUUUGUACGGAACGAAAAGGUUUGGCCUAAUAAGCUGAGCUCAUGACGGUACCGUAAGAAUAAGCACCGGCUAACUACGUGCCAGCCGCCGCGGUAA
rnacentral:rRNA from 1 species